rnacentral:rRNA from 1 species
AGAGUUUGAUCCCGGCUCAGGACGAACGCUGGCGGCGUGCCUAAUACAUGCAAGUCGAACGCUUCUUUCCUCCCGAGUGCUUGCACUCAAUUGGAAAGAGGAGUGGCGGACGGGUGAGUAACACGUGGGUAACCUACCCAUCAGAGGGGGAUAACACUUGGAAACAGGUGCUAAUACCGCAUAACAGUUUAUGUCGCAUGGCAUAAGAGUGAAAGGCGCUUUCGGGUGUCGCUGAUGGAUGGACCCGCGGUGCAUUAGCUAGUUGGUGAGGUAACGGCUCACCAAGGCCACGAUGCAUAGCCGACCUGAGAGGGUGAUCGGCCACACUGGGACUGAGACACGGCCCAGACUCCUACGGGAGGCAGCAGUAGGGAAUCUUCGGCAAUGGACGAAAGUCUGACCGAGCAACGCCGCGUGAGUGAAGAAGGUUUUCGGAUCGUAAAACUCUGUUGUUAGAGAAGAACAAGGACGUUAGUAACUGAACGUCCCCUGACGGUAUCUAACCAGAAAGCCACGGCUAACUACGUGCCAGCAGCCG